UUUUUGUUUUCUGUUAUU
rnacentral:sRNA from 1 species